AUGGAACUGAAACAGAAACACCUAGAGAAAACAAAAACCUUAAGCUAUGAAAACAGACUGUAUGACAGAGAGAGUCAUAAAAACCCAGAGGCUCUUUAUUUCUAUGUUUCUGUGUUUGUUUCUUAUCAGAUUGAGAACAAAUAUAAAAUGGGAAAGGGAGGAAGGAAGGAAUUAAAAAAGGGUUUGGAUUUAGGAAGAGAGGUAGCGGUCAAACCACGGAAACGAAAACUAGUACUCGUACAAUCUUUCAAAUUUUUUUUU